UGAGCGUCCUUAAAGUCACAAAAAGUAAUGCUUACUUCUUGAUUCACAAGAUGCAGAAACGUCUUCCGACUUCAGGAAUCAAGUGGUUUUUACUUUCCGUGAUGAGGGACGACGGAAUAGACUAAUAAGAUCGUCAAGACCCCUCGUGGUGAUAAAAAGAAAACUGAAAAGUGUAAUCAAGUAUGAUCCUAGAACCAACAGCAAAAGUAAGUCAAAUGUCACGCUGGCAACCUGAUAUAUAUGCAACUUCCCACUAGUUGAAUCGUAAAAAGUGAAUGUUCCAUCUAGAGACUCAUGCUGUACAUUCACCUCUGCAGUAUGAUCAGCUAGUUCCUUCUCCAGCGCCUUAAUAAGCGGGUCAUUUUUUGAAAGAAAAGGUGCCACUCGA
rnacentral:misc_RNA from 1 species